UACGUAGGUGGCAAGCGUUGUCCCGGAUUUACUAGGCGUAAAGAGCGCGCAGGCGGUCGUGCAAGUCGCGUGUGAAAGCCCCCGGCUCAACUGGGGAGGGUCACGCGAUACUGCUCGACUCGAAGGCAGGAGAGGGAAGUGGAAUUCCCGGUGUAGUGGUGAAAUGCGUAGAUAUCGGGAGGAACACCAGUGGCGAAGGCGACUUCCUGGCCUGUUCUGACGCUGAGCGCGAAAGCU
rnacentral:rRNA from 1 species